rnacentral:lncRNA from 1 species
ACAUCAUCACCCAGGAAUUAUUCUGGAUUUUCCACCAUGGUUGAAAUUUAGACAAGGGAAGUGCGUGGUGGGUUCAGAUUCGCCGGCCUUAGUGAUCAACGAGGAGAGACGCAGACGCCAGCAAACAUCCAAAAGUCUAUAUCGUUUUCAAUCACUAGGCCAUAUUGUCGCCGAUCUAAUUACAUUUGUUGAACAUCAUACACCUUUCACUUGUCCUAAUGCCCUGCCUUCGUGUCAUUCACAGGUCCUAUGCAGAGCCACUCAAAAUCUUACUUCAAGAUUAUCUGGGCAGACUUGAUGGCUCAGUUUUGUGCCUCC